rnacentral:misc_RNA from 1 species
GCAAACUUGGUCAUUUAGAGGAAGUAAAAGUCGUAACAAGGUUUCCGUAGGUGAACCUGCGGAAGGAUCAUUCACAAUGAGUGUUUAAUGGCACUUUGUAAAUCCAUUACCCACCUUGUGUGCACUGUAGGGAGGAAGCAGAACGGCUGCGCUACUAGUUGGUGCCAGCUGGUCCCUGCCUCUUUCAUUAUACACACCUAUUCUUCUUUCAUGUCUACUUCAAUUGAGUAUAAAAAACUCUAAUACAACUUUCAACAACGGAUCUCUUGGCUCUCGCAUCGAUGAAGAACGCAGC